rnacentral:piRNA from 1 species
UGAAAGCCAUUUCCCCUGUCUUAG